rnacentral:rRNA from 1 species
AGCGAACGCUGGCGGCAGGCCUAACACAUGCAAGUCGAACGGAUCCUUCGGGAUUAGUGGCGGACGGGUGAGUAACACGUGGGAACGUGCCCUUUGGUUCGGAACAACUCAGGGAAACUUGAGCUAAUACCGGAUGUGCCCUUCGGGGGAAAGAUUUAUCGCCAUUGGAGCGGCCCGCGUCUGAUUAGCUAGUUGGUGAGGUAACGGCCCACCAAGGCGACGAUCAGUAGCUGGUCUGAGAGGAUGAUCAGCCACACUGGGACUGAGACACGGCCCAGACUCCUACGGGAGGCAGCAAUGGGGAAUCUUGCGCAAUGGGCGAAAGCCUGACGCAGCCAUGCCGCGUGAAUGAUGAAGGUCUUAGGAUUGUAAAAUUCUUUCAGCGGGGACGAUAAUGACGGUACCCGCAGAAGAAGCUCCGGCUAACUUCGUG